rnacentral:rRNA from 1 species
CUUUUAUUAUUAUUAAAGACUAGCACUAUUAAGUCUCGCUGCCCUUGUCCGAUGAGAUUGUCGUCGGUGUGUAAAUGUACCUGGCAUUUAAUGAGUCCGAUGAGAUGAUGCGUAGUACUUGUGCUUAGUCUCGCAUUCGCUGCCAAUGUCCGCUUGCGCAGCGGCAGCCCGGCCGACAUCCCCUGCCGCGCUCGCCGCUCGGAAGGAAACGCGAAGAGGUACUUGGCGACGUCGCUGCGGAAGGAGCGGUACCCGUCCAGCGGCAGGGGAGCGCACCACGGACGACGCCGUCGCUGUGCCUCGUCGAGCCGGCGGGACAGCAGGCCCUGGAGCAGCUCAUGGUCGUGGACGGGCGGCAUCUUCUACCAGUAGACGCGGAAGCGGCCGCCUCCUGGGCGGCGGACGAGCAGAACGCGCCCGUGUAGGCGAGGCCCGUACUCCCCCUCCUGGUGGCACCGGCGGCCGACGCGCAGGCGGCGGAACUACGUCGCCGACUCUUGCGGCGUGCGACGCCGCUUGGCAGCCGAGACUCGCGAGGGACUGCGGCGGUAAGAACCGCGAGCUAGCUAGCUGGGGAGGCAUCCGAGAGCUUGGGGGACAGGUGAGACGGAGACGAUCAACUAGCCCACAACACAACCAACCUCCUUCCUCUAACUACCUGACCUCUACCAAUCUACCCAAACUAAAUAUUCUUGUCUUAGUUAUUGAAGGCUUGCAGACUAAAAAUCCUCGACGCAGGCUUGCGCGGGUUUCGGUAAGCUAGUUUACUUGCUUAGAACUUCGCCUAUCGGUCGGUGCAGUAUGUGUCGACUGACAAGCCCUAACUCCCUCUUGCCAGGCUUGCUGUUGCGUCGGGUGAGAGGGGUGGGUGUUGUGCGCCGGGUGAGGGGGCUGUUGGUAUAGGUAAGGAGGGUGAGAGUCGGUGUAGAGCUUAGGAGCUCUCAAAGCUGGCCGCGGGGAGCGGCGGCCCGUACCUCCGCUCGCCACCUCCACAGUGGUACGCGCGGCGCCGGAGCGAGCCUCCACCUCCUUGCUCAUCUCCCGCGCGAGCCACCCGCCGUACCGCUCCGUCUUCCACCUCUCCCUCACCCGCCGGUACGGCGCCGCCUCGUCUCGCCCUACUCCGCCUCGUCCUUCGGAGUUACCACACGCUGCAACCCUCCCUCCGCUCUCUCCGCCUCUCGUGCCCCCUCUGCUCCAGCACCGCCAAGUGACGUAGCACCCGGUGGCCGUCGUGUGCCCCCGUCCUCCACUUCUUCUACUCUAGUACCGCCGGCCCCGUCGCUCUCAACGUCUCGGCUCCUUCCCUCCAACGCCCUCCGGGCGCUCCUUCUUCCUCCCGAUGGAGCGCCUCCCCUUCCCCUCGUCGCCCGCCGGCCUGCGCAUCCGCCUCGAGUUGUACGGCGGCCCGAAGGCGAAUGUGGGGUGCUUGCUGCUUGAGCAGCACGUGAUGGAGACGUCCCUCCACCGCCGGUCGGCGUCGGCACGGGUACUAGACGGACCACGCAGAAGAAGGAGAGGGGACGAAGAGCGCUGGUACAAAAGGAAGAGGACGAAGCAGCGAGUAACGAAAGCAGACUAAGUUACAUACUACCGGCAACCCACGCACGUCUUGUACGUCUCGUCCCUCACCAUGAAAAGGACAAACUUGAUCGAACAAAAAACAUGAACAAGUUGAUAGUUUUACGUACAUUUAAACUUGGAAAACAAAACGGGGAGGACUUACACUUAACAUGCUUAUGAUCGGAAAAACAAGACAAAAUAUCCACACCGUUUUUACGACUUAACUACCUUGAACGAUGACUUUGACUAGACCUUGUUUUUACGAUUUGACUAGACUUUGUCUUUUUCAGUUUAAGGAAAUCGUACCCAGGACGAUGACUUUAAACGGUAUAUGGGUAAAACUGUCAUCGUGCCGUUAAAAAUAUUCAUACAUAUAGUACC